AUACGGAGGGUGCAAGCGUUACUGGGAAUCACUGGGCGUAAAGCGCGCGCAGGCGGUCUUUUAAGUUGGAUGUGAAAGCCUACAGCUCAACUGUAGAACUGCAUCCAAAACUAUUAGACUAGAGUCUGGGAGGGGAAGAUGGAAUUAGUUGUGUAGGGGUAAAAUCCGUAGAGAUAACUAGGAAUACCAAAAGCGAAGGCGAUCUUCUGGAACAGUACUGACGCUGAGGCGCGAAAGCGUGGGGAGCAAACAGGAUUAGAAACCCUAGUAGUCC
rnacentral:rRNA from 1 species